rnacentral:rRNA from 1 species
GGAGGAGGAGCCAACACUGUUUUAUAUAUAUAUAUAUAUAUAUAUAUAUUAAUUGGGGUAGCCCCCAAAAUAUUGGGACAUAUAAAAAAAGACAACUCUGUUGCGCAGAGUAGUUGCUGACAUUAUAGUUGCACAGGCACUUUGUUGACUCUAGAGAGCCUCGGUCCAAUCGCAUAUCCCCGUGGCAGCGACUUUGCAUGCGGAUGUCAUCCAUAUCAACUUUCGAUGCCAGUUUCUGCGCCUACCAUGGUGACCACGGGUAACGGGGAAUCAGGGUUCCAUUCCGUACAGGGACCCUGACAAACGGCUACCACAUGCAAGGAAGGUAGCAGGCACGCAAAUGACCCACUACCGACACGUGAAGGUAGUGAC